rnacentral:tRNA from 1 species
ACCGUGCCCCCCCGGACACGGCCAAAUUAGCACCUAAUGAUUUAUUAGGUUUAUUAAAAACAAUCAUGAAACGAAAA